rnacentral:lncRNA from 1 species
GCCCCCUUCGCCUGUCUGUGUGUGGUAUCCGCAGGUCCGAGCCACUUUUUUUUUUUUUUUGAGUGCGUGUACGUGUGUGUGUUGAGUGCGUGUGUUUGUGUGUUUUGGGGGUUUGGCGGGGCGCGGAGAGGAGAGCCAGGCUGGGAGGAAGGAAAGAAGCCGCAGAGCUCCCGGGCUCAGGCUACGUCUCCCCCUCCGGUGCUCUCCAGCCUGCGCGCUCCUAGGCAGCAGGGACGCCGACCGCUCCCCGCCGGAGACGCAGCCGAUUCACUUGAGAGCAAAGAAGACCCCUUCGCCGAGGCUUCCUAUGCCGGCUGGAGUUAGGAUGCCACGGCCCAUUAUUUGCACCGACUAACCCGGAGUUCCUCCUCGGCCCUGGGAAGGACUGGCGGCGGCGGCUGGA